GUGCGCAGCAAUGUUCCGGGCGUGAGCAGCGUGUGCUUUAUUUGUGUCUUUUCGACUUUUGUGCGGUUGACCAUGGCCCAAGUACGUGUAUACUAGGCAGAACUGUACAGUUGCGUGCUGAAAUUUCGAGCUGUGCUUCUGACUGCUAUUUGUGGUACGUUUGUUCGCCUUGCGGAGCGCUUACGGGAAUACUCGGGAGGCAAUGUUUUGAUGGUUAAUUUUCGCACAUGUUUGUAUCGCUUGGUUUCCUGCGUUCCUCUUCAAGUGUCAGGGAUAUUUCUCAUUUGCAAUGCAUAUCUCUAAGUCUCUGGCAGCAUUAUGUUAUUGACACUUUUGUGAUCUGAGAAGCUGCCUGACCAAGUUGCCUAUCAAGAUGAACAUUCCAUCUCUGGAUUCUGCUUGCGUGGAAUUUAUUUCACCAUAUAUUUUUCAAUGCAGCUGGAAAGUACUGGCUUUCUAUCUUGAAUCCGGUGGCCCCAGAAGCAAGUGCUGGCAAGCAGGCCAUGCGCUUUUGGUCAUUAAUUAAUCCGCGUUUAACCUGUUUGUAUACAGCGAGAACAUGUAAUGAAUAAUUUCAUACAUGUGCGUGGCUGGGGGCCGAUCAUUUUUGUAAUAAAGCUUUAUCAGUUGUAUAAAUAAAAAAGUAACAUUGGUAUGACA